GACUGUAAUGGUCCAAAGGACGAAGCCUCUCAACGCCCUCGGCAAAUCCCCGGCUGCCCAUUCCGUCAGAUCCCUCCCGCCAGGCGCCCAGUUCGAACGCCGCGGUGGCCGCCCUAGACUCGCGCUGGUAACACGUGAAUGGUCUAGCGGCCUUAAGGUACGAGGGUGAUGCUUCAGGGAGGUUUCACUCUGCAGAGGCACCCUCCCCGUCGCGUGGCGAAUUGGAUAACGACCGCGGGAGGAUGUGGGCGACGGGAUAGAGGCGGAGAAAUCAACGUCCAUU
rnacentral:SRP_RNA from 1 species